GACGAACGCUGGCGGCGUGGAUUAGGCAUGCAAGUCGGACGGUAGGGCUUUAUCGUAAGAUAGAGUUUGAGAGUGGCGAACGGGUGAGUAACACGUAGGAAUCUACCCUUAAGACGGGGACAACCCAGGGAAACUUGGGCUAAUACCGGAUGAGAGUGCGAGAGAUUGCAUUUAAAAGGAUGGCGAAAGUUAUCGCUUAGGGAUGAGCCUGCGGUCUAUUAGUUAGUUGGUGGGGUAAGAGCUCACCAAGGCGAUGAUAGAUAGGCGGCCUUAACGGGUGGUCGCCCACACUGGGAUUGAGAUACGGCCCAGACUCCUACGGGAGGCAGCAGUCGAGAAUAGUCUACAAUGGCCGGAAGGCUGAUAGUGCGACGCCGCGUGAACGAGGGAGCCCUUCGGGUGUAAAGUUCUUUUCUAUUACGAGCAGUGCUAUAUUAUAUUGGAUAGUAUAUAUAGAGGGAUAGUAGUAUAGGAAUAAGCAACGGCUAACUCCGUAGCCAGCAGCCGCGU
rnacentral:rRNA from 1 species